rnacentral:tRNA from 1 species
GGGGUUGUGGCUCAGUGGUAGAGCACUUGACUAGAGCAUGUAAGACACUGGUUUUAAUCCUCAGCCCCA